UACGUAGGGUGCAAGCGUUGUCCGGAAUUAUUGGGCGUAAAGAGCUUGUAGGCGGUUUGUCGCGUCUGCUGUGAAAUUUCGGGGCUCAACCCCGAACUUGCAGUGGGUACGGGCAGACUAGAGUGUGGUAGGGGAGACUGGAAUUCCUGGUGUAGCGGUGAAAUGCGCAGAUAUCAGGAGGACACCGAUGGCGAAGGCAGGUCUCUGGGCCACUACUGACGCUGAGAAGCGAAAGCAUGGGGAGCGAACAGGAUUAGAAACC
rnacentral:rRNA from 1 species